rnacentral:rRNA from 1 species
GAUCCUGGCUCAGGACGAACGCUGGCGGCGUGCUUAACACAUGCAAGUCGAACGGAGCACCCCUGAAGGAGUUUUCGGACAACGGAAGGGAGUGCUUAGUGGCGGACUGGUGAGUAACGCGUGAGGAACCUGCCUUUCAGAGGGGGACAACAGUUGGAAACGACUGCUAAUACCGCAUGACGCAUGACGGGGGCAUCCCUGACAUGCCAAAGAUUUAUCGCUGAAAGAUGGCCUCGCGU